rnacentral:rRNA from 1 species
UACAGAGGGUGCGAGCGUUUAAUCGGAAUUACUGGGCGUAAAGCGCACGUAGUCGGCUUUGCAAGUCGGGUGUGAAAUCCCCGGGCUCAACCUGGGAACUGCAUCCGGGACUGCAUUGCUAGAGUAUGGGAGAGGGAAGCGGAAUUUCUGGUGUAGCAGUGAAAUGCGUAGAUAUCAGAAGGAACAUCAGUGGCGAAGGCGGCUUCCUGGACCAAUACUGACGAUCAGGUGCGAAAGCGUGGGGAGCAAACAGG